GGGUUGUGAGGUUAAGCGACUAAGCGUACACGGUGGAUGCCCUGGCAGUCAGAGGCGAUGAAGGACGUGCUAAUCUGCGAUAAGCGUCGGUAAGGUGAUAUGAACCGUUAUAACCGGCGAUUUCCGAAUGGGGAAACCCAGUGUGAUUCGUCACACUAUCAUUAACUGAAUCCAUAGGUUAAUGAGGCGAACCGGGG
rnacentral:rRNA from 2 species